GCAGCUAAGUAAGCUGUAGGGUCCCUCCCAGAUCACAGAGGAGGGGAGGCCGUGGUGGUCUCUCAGUGCAGGAAGCCUGAUGGAUAAGAAGGAAGCAGAGCACCAGACUCCUAACAUGGGCAGUUUGCCCAAAAACCCCAUCCCCCCCUGAAGUCUUGGAUGAUUAGAUGUUUCUAACAGCCUGUAUUCUUGUUGCAUUCUGCUACAUACUACAUGCUUAGUUUCAUGGGUAAAUAUAGUAGCAUUUCCCCUUAAAGCAAAAUUAUAUAUUACCCAUACUUGCUGAGAGAAUAGGACAAAAGAAAGGUGGAAUAACUGGUUUCACUGUGGCUUGUUGGCAGAUGUCACAAACUAAUACUGGAGAGAAUACUCUCUAGGCAAAUAUUACCUCUGGUUAAGACUGUAGCUUGGUCAUGGGCCAAGCAAAUUUUAACCUCCUUUUUUCCCCACUUCCUUAAAAAAAAAAAACUUUUUAAGAAUAGAUAUUCUUCUCCGUAGCUGAAAGUCAGAGCAAGUCCAUUGUCCUUGAACUGGGAAGGUGAGUCCCAAGAGGUUACCCAUGUGAUCAGCAUCCUGGCCUCUGGACUACACGGGAAACUUCAGGCUGGUCUGGGGCUUCCCUGCUUGGGUGUGAAGACUCGGCACUAAUCCUCCCGUCAGUUCCCUCUGCCCCAACCAGUGAAACAUGAUGUGUUCACCAGUGACUUUGCAGCUUAUGUUCCUUUUCCUCAUCUGUAAAAGGCAGAUUGCUUGUUUGUCAGAAUGACUUGAACCUGGUUUGGAGCAUGUGUGGAAAUACACAGCAUUUUCUUUUUAGGAGAUUUUUUUCUUUAGUGUUUUGUUGCUAUUGUUUGUUUUGGCUCAUUUUGUUUGCUUUUUAGGGCCACGUAAGUGGCAUAGGAAAGUUCCCAGGCUCGGUGUCAAAUUGGAGCUGUAGCUGCUGGCCUACACCAUAGCCAUACCAGAUCCGAGCUGCAUCUGUGACCUUGCUGCAGCUUGCAGCAACACCAGAUCCUUAACCCACUGAGUGAGGUCAGGGAUCGAACCCACAUCCUCUUGGAUACUAGUCGGGUUUUUAACUCACUGGGCCACAAAGGGAACUCCUAUUGUUGUUUUUAUCAAAGUAUAGUUGAUUUACAAUGGUGUACCAAUUUCUGCUAUACUGCAAACAGACCUAGUCAUACACACACACACACACACACACACACACACACACACACACACAUUUCCUUUCUUACAUUAUCUUCCAUCAUAGUCUAGCCCACAAGACUGGAUGUAGUUCCCUUUGCUAUACAGUAGGACCUCAUUAGUUAUCCAUUCUAAAUGUAGUAGUUUGCACCUCUAAUCCCCAAACUCCCCAAAACCCCAAAUUCCUAGUCCAUCCCACUCUCUCUCCCCUCCUCCUUGGCAACCAUAUGUCUGUUCUCUAUGUCUAUGAAUCUGUUUCUGUUCUGUAGAUAAGUUCAUUUGUGCCAUAUUUUAGAUUCUGUAUAUAUGUGAUAUCAUAUGAUACUUGUCUUUCUCUUUCUGACUUCACUUAGUAAGAGAAUUGCUAGUUGCUUCCAUAUUGCUGCAAAUGGCAUUUUUUUUUCAUUCCUUUUUAUGGCUGAGUAGUAUUCCAUUGUGUAUAUGUACCACAUCUUCUUAAUUCAUUCAUCUGUGGAUGGACCUUUAUGUGGUUUCCCUGUCUUGGCUAUUGUAAAUAGUGCUGCUAUGAACAUAGGGGUGCAUAUAACUUUUUGAAUUAUAGUUUUGUCCACAUCCCAGGAGUGGGAUUGCUGGAUCGUAUGGUAGUUCUAUAUUCAGUUUUCUGAGGAAGCUUAGGAGAUAUUUUAGCUAUCUAAUUAUAAACAACAGAAGAAACAAACCAAAAAACAGGCUUUCUUGGAUACCCAGUCACCAGUGUUUUAAUAUAUGAAAAUUGUAAAAACAAUUUUGUAGAAUGGGGAACUUCCCAUGGUGUUUUGGGACUAGCUGCUGACACCCUGGGGUUUCUAGCCAGGAGAGAAUCCAUACUGGAUCAAACUCUAAAAGAGAUGGGUAGAUUAAAAAAAGACAAACAGUCCUUCCAGGUUUCCCAGAAGCAUGGUGUGGGAAUGACUGUCCCAAGCAGAGGCUCUGUGCUCUUUGGUUUCUGACAAGUGCAGCUGCUAAAGGAUGGUCAGUGUUUUAAUAAUGAGACGUCAUUCCCCUUUCAACAGUUUAUGUGAAUUUUCACGCCUACCAUGAAGGCUGUAGGGUCUUGCAGACCUCUGUCUCUGGUUGAUCACAAAAGACCCCUUUUGCUCCAGCUGCAGAAUAAGGUGACUUUUACCCAUAAAGGAAGUCACAAUGUAUGUAUGAAAAUCUGGCUUUUAAAAUUCUGUUUCCUGAUAAAAUCUUAGAGAGUAAAGUCCAAUCAUUUUCAUAGUUGCUGAUGUUCUAACUGGAGGAAGUGUUCUCAGGGGCCGGCUGGUCAUCUCUCUUUUGGCUGGUAGUGGUCUGGGACAGAAGAUGGGAGAGCUGUUGGACUAGGAGAAGUGCAGCUUUGGGAUCGUCACAGCAAAAUUAUUUGAAGUCUCAAUUUUUAUUCCCAUUGGCAUGUAAUAAGAACCUGGCCCUUAGCUAUAAAAUGCAAGGCAAAAUGUUUAAUAUAUUGUGAAGUAUUAAGUGACUGGGUGGCACGUUUCUUGACCCAUUGUCCUGGCUUCACAUUUUGGGAGCACAUGAAAUACACACUUCAGUACAUUUCUGGUUGUCUUAUCCCUGUGAUCUUCAGUGCACCUCAGUGGGCAGGGGUGGUGUCUGGAUAAUAAACUCGUCGUAACUCCAUCACCAAGGUGAGCGUCCUUUGCUGGCAGCAGAACUGAUCCUCAGUUACCUGCAGGAGGAAGACAUGCAUGAUUUCUGCCAGGGUCUGAUUUUCCACCCCCUGGACUCCCCGAAAAGCAAAGCCGUUUCAGCAGCACGGUUCCAAUACGCUGGCAGGGCAAGGGUUGGCUUGUCCUCUUACAAACACAGUUUAGCAGGAUGCACUCAUAAAUGAAAAAUGAUCUGAGGGCUGUGGGUGGGGCCCUCGCACUCAGGAGGUGCAGCGGAGAGGCGGAGGGGAGAGAGAGAGAAGAGACAGCGCUCACGCUCCUGGGCUCAGUGGAGUAUGGGGACUUGGCAGGAAGUCGGAGCAGGCACUGGCAUGGCUCACAUUUUUGUUGAUAGUUAAUAACCCAGGACAUGAAAGAACUGAAUGGAGGAGGAAAAUGAAGCACAACAUACUUUGGAGUCGGUCCUAUUCCAGCAGCUGUGAAACACAGUGGAGAUUGCUCACCUGAUCAGCCUGUGAAGCAGGUAGGAGGGGAGACCUGAGUGGCCAGGAGAAUCUUAUUUUCUCUCUGCACACAACUUACAUGUCUUCCAAAGUUCCUUUUUUUUUUUUUUAAGUCUAUAAGGAAUGAGUAGAUAUUAUUGACAUAAGAAACAGACUGAAUUGUGCUGAUAUCUGCCCAGGGCAGAGUUUUUCCUCGGUUACUAGUGUGAUAACCAGAUGACAGCUAUAUUCUAUGGAGUGCCUUAAAAAAAUCACCCCAAACCAUACAGCAUUUGGGUUAAGUCAGUUUAAAAAUUGGCAGAUAAUCAGUGAACCGCAGAUACUGUUUUAGAACAAAUACUUUGAAAAUGGUCACCCAGGCUUGAUUUCCAGGCUUGACUGUUGCUCUGUUUUCAUAUUUCAGAGCUAACAAGGUGCUAGCUAAUUUUUACUGGCUUUUGUAACAAAGGAGGUGGAGGUAUAACAGCUGUGAAAUAUCCAGAAAUUGACUGGGGUCCAGAGUGAAGCCUGAAUGCACUAAUGUUUUCUCCAUUAAGGCAGCUGCCUCUGCUCCGCUCCUAAACCAGGGAAUUGGAAAGAAUGGUGAGAGUGGAGUGUGGAUCCUGAAUAUUUGUCUGGGGGCAGGGCAGGGGAUGUGAGGGAGAAAGGGUUGGAAAUUGUCACUGUGCCGUCUUGGCACCCAGGAGGAGAAAAUAAAUGAGGAGGGUCAUGGGUGGCAGCCACCUGCAAGGACAAUUUAAAGACUGAUUUGUGGCUCCCGAGGUUGUAGCUGAGUCUCAAAGCAUCCCUUCCCUCGUCGGGGCUCGUGAUAAGAGAAGCAACACAGAAAAAAGACCAUAGCAAGCCUGGGUUUCUGAACCAUUUCCAGGCUUUGCUUCUGAUAGAUGCCUGGAUAAUUUGACCUGGAUUUCCCCUGCAAUGAAUCGGUCAGGGUGCUAUGAAAUUGAGCUGAUGUGGGCUAGGUCGGAAGAAGUGCGUGUGGUCGGCAUGACAGGAGCGUCAGAAUUAGGCAGAGAACUUGAUUUCAGUCGAACAGUCCCGCCCGAAUGCUGGCGCACUCAGAGCCUUAGAGAUGCCCUAGUAGCAGAAGGGGUGUGUCUGGGAAGGCAGAUGUGGGAGCGGCUUCAGUGGUGCUGACUGGCUGGCUGUUGCCCUCAUGCUGUGGUGGCCAAGUCCUGUGGCUUUGCAUUUUAGGCCCAGAGGCUGGGAGAUGGCCAUGCUUAGUCAAGGCAAGCCUGAACCUUCUCUCUAACUCCAUAGUCUUCCACAGCUAGCCCUAUUCACGGGUGGCAGAGUGGCACUUCUGUGGUCUUUUAGGAAACCUGGCCACCUCCUCCAGCCUCACUCUGUUCUUUCUUGCCUACUGUCCACCUGUUGGGUGAGUCCCCGGGGUCCCCCAUCCUUCACACUGGUUUGUCCUGGGUGCUAUUUGCAGGAAAUUAAGCCAAGCAAGAGGAGCAGGCUCCUCUGUAUAGGGUCCAUUCUGGAUGCAAUCAGAGAGUGGUACAUUCUGGUCCAUGGGCCAAACCCAGCCUGUUUUUGUAAGGCUCCAGAGCGAGGAAAUGUGUUUUCCAUCUUAAAGUGUUGAAGAAACAAACCCCAAAUAUAUGACCUGUUGGAGCCAACAUUUGCCAACCCUGAUUGACAUCACUCAGGAGCAGGGUGUCCCGUGGAUCCAGCCACUCAUUAAGUCCUCGGCAGUUCAAAUGGGCUGCCGUUUAGCACCUGGCUUUAGUUUCUCAAUCUGUGUUCCAUGGCCGUACUGCUUCCGAAAGGGAAGAUUCCAGAGCAGAAAGUUGAAGUUUUUCUGCAGGGUCCAAACAUGAGGAAAGAAAUGUUAGGUGAACUAUGAUCUGUAGGUGGGUUUUCAUCCUCUCCCUCCCUGGUGAACCUGCUGGUGUAGUUACAGCCACCAGACCUACCACGUGUUGACUGUGUCUGCCACUGAAAGAAUGCCACGGGGGAACCAAAACUCUGCUGUCUUACUCAGAAAUGAUCCAGUUCCUUUUUUCCUCUUUUACAGACUGAAUGCUGGUCAGACAGGUACAACCUGAGUUGUUUGGUGUUGCCCUUUGGAAAAAAGAUGUUUUCUCUAAUAAUAAUAAUAGUAGUAAUAAUAAUAAAGAUAGUCAAGUGAUGAUCAUGUUUUCUCAUAUUUAGAACAGGAUUUUUUUAUUGGUAUCUAAGAAAGCUUACCGUGGGGCGGCCAACCUGACCCUUGAACAUGGACUUGUCCUUAACCCAGCACAGGAUUUCAUUAUUUUUUUUAAUUUAUUUUUUUGUCUUUUCUAGGGCCGCACCCACAGCAUAUGGAGGUUCCCAGGCUAGGGGUCUAAUCGGAGCUGUAGCUGCUGGCCUACACCACAGCCACAGCAACGCGGGAUCCAAGCCGCCUCUGUGACCCACACCACAGCUCACGGCAAUGCCGGAUCCUUAACCCACUGAGCAAGGCCAGGGAUUGAACCCACAACCUCAUUGUUCCUAGUCGGAUGCAUUAACCACUGAGCCACAACGGGAACUCCAGGAUUUCAUUAUUAAUGUCAUUUUUCAUAAGGGAAGAGGAAAAUCCGGUGACCUUGCUCAUGUUUAACUUGUGUCAAAACGGCAGGCCUGGCUGUGUGUCUAAGUUCUGAAAGUGGCUUCUUGGCCAUGGAAGAAACACAGGAAAGUUCCUCACAAGGCGUUUGUAGUUUAAGAAGAAAAAACCAAACGGCCAGUGUAAUUUUUUUUUUCCUUCAGGACCUUGCAACCAUCUCUCCUCCUGUAUUUGGAAACGGGAUGCUGUCAGUAGAGAAGAAUGGGGGUGGGGCCUCCUUUGACAGAUGGACACAAGCGAGGAAGGAUGAAAAUAUGUACAUGCGGUGCCCAUGGGAGCUGGCGCCUGAAAAACAAGAUGGCGGUUGUCCACGUGACACGGCAGGUUGUCAGAGCGGGCAAGGGUGGGCCCUUUCAUGUACCACGUGAGCUAGGCUGCUCCUUCGCCAGUAUUUAGAAAGGGGGUUGGCUCUGAAUGUAGAGAUUAAGCAACCUGCUAUUCCUGUAUGCACCAGAAUUUCAGACACCGUCAGAAACCUGAUUUGCGUAACUGCUGAAACUCAACUGGAAGCCAACCAAAUGGAGGCCUGGGCUCCCCAAGCGAAGGGCAGUUAGUCAGAGAUCACAGCACCUGAGGGAAUUUAUCAGGAGAGCCCAAGACGGUGUGGUCUGUGGGGCUGGACUCAAUGGGGCAGGCUCUGAGGUGAAGGGUUGGUUUGGGGCCCCUACACGAGUCAAGGGUAUGGAUCUCAGAGACCUAGAACGACCUGGUAUCUCAGGGAAACAAGCAGAGCCUUUUCACUUCUGAGCCAUGCAACCAAGCACUUUUUUUUUUGGUCUUUUCAGGGCUGCAUCCAUGGCAUAUGAAGAUUCUCAGGCUAGGGGUCUAAUCAGAGCUGUAGUUGCCAGCCACAGCCACAGCCACGCCAGAUGCGAGCCACGUCUGCGACCUACACCACAGCUCACAGCAACACCAGAUCCUUAACCCACUGAGCGAGGCCAGGGAUCGAACCCGCAACCUCAUGAUUCCUAGUCGGAUUUGUUGCCACUGCGCCACAUCGGAAACUCCCCAGGAAGGCUCUUAAAGAGACAGAGGCAACCAGACAAUCAGUCAAAGUUUGACCAUGAGCUGAAGUGGAGUACAAGCAUGAGCAGCCCUUAAUUAGCCCGCUCACUUAGAGGAUGUUGGGAGAAUGAAGUGUUUUGGCUCAAACCUGGUGCAUGUGCCCUUCCUUUUGGCUGUCUGGACAAAGCUGGAAUCUGACCUCUGCUCUUCAGCUUUUUCCUGAUGGUGUAAGGGAUAAAAGACAGCGCUGAAUGUGUGCACACAUGUGCAAAAGCGUGUAAACCUAAAGGAGAGGAACAGCCGAGCAUAUGGAAGUCAUGAUUCUGAGUUAGAAAACUGGUGACCAUGUCCAUGAAAAAGAAUCAGUAAUUUCACGUCUUGAUGGCUGGCAGGGAUCCCUUUAUGUGGUUUUGUGUGCAUGUUCUUAAGAACUCCUAUAGGCAAUGCACCCUCUGCUCCAAACAUGAUCUCUAUACAUUUCUUGCAGUGGCUUCUGGGAGUGUAGCACAAAAUCCCUCUCACCUUGGAGGUCCUGACUGCAGCUCUGCCUUUUCCUCUGUGGUCGGGGGACAAGGUGGCUGCUUUCCUCCUCCACUGACACGGCUCCUGCUCUGCUUAACAGAGGAGCAGGCCGAGUGCCACCCCAGGAGUUCCUCCAUUAGCUUUGCCGUCCCUGCAGGGCGCAUCUGCUCCAGGGUGCCUCAGUUUGUUCAAUCCAGGUGUGCAUAGGCGUGUAGCCACACCCUGACUAACCCAGGUGGCCUCCAGUUGGGCCUGCCUGACUCAGUCUCGGCUUAGAAGUGAAGUCCCUGUGCAGCGAGUCAGGCCCUGACAGUGACCCUGGGCUCCAGGUCUUCCUCCUUGUUUGGAAUCUCUUCUGGAAGAAGCAACACUACUAAGUUUUACGUGCACCAAAGGAAUCUGGCACUUAGAGGAACCAAGAGUGACUCCUUUGGUAAAAGAGAGAGAUCCAAACCCGGUUUGGAUUUUUGUUAACUUUCCAGUUUGGAGGCUCUCAGGUUGGCUUAAAGCAAGAUGCCCUUGAACCGUCUUCUUUGCCCUUCUAAUUUCACACUGUUUUUCUACUCAAAUUAAAAGAUGGAAACCAAGUUGGAAAUUGGCAGAAUAGGGCAAAUCUGAGGAAGGGCAAGAGUCACCCUUGAGAAUCAGUUUGAUAAGAAGCCCCAACUGAAGUGAGAGCCUCAGGCUAUGGGGGCAAAGCAGCAGGCACAGAUCACUCCCUGAACCAGUGGAUAGAUGGUCUCCUGCUUAAACAUUCAUUUCGCUAAGCCUUGUGCUUUCAGCAAGAACUUCAACAAUUUUACAAGCUCCCCUCGUCCCCCUCAAAAAAAAAAAAAAAAA
rnacentral:lncRNA from 1 species